rnacentral:rRNA from 1 species
UAGGGAAUAUUGGGCAAUGGAGGCAACUCUGACCCAGCAACGCCGCGUGAAUGAAGAAGGUUUUCGGAUUGUAAAGUUCUGUUCUGUGGGAAGAAAAAAAUGACGGUACCACAGAAGAAAGCCACGGCAAACUACGUGCCAGCAGCCGCGGUAAUACGUAGGUGGCAAGCGUUGUCCGGAAUGACUGGGCGUAAAGGGAGUGUAGGUGGUUAUGUAAGUCAAAUGUGAAAUCCCUGGGCUUAACCCAGGAACUGCAUUUGAUACUAUGUGACUAGAGUGCAGGAGGGGAAAGCGGAAUUCCAAGUGUAGCGGUAGAAUGCGUAGAUAUUUGGAGGAACAUCAGAGGCGAAGGCGGCUUUCUGGACUGUAACUGACACUAAGACUCGAAAGCGUGGGGAGCAAACA